rnacentral:lncRNA from 1 species
CACACAGGAAGGUCCCGGAGCUUAAACCAGAGCCUAGAACACACAGGAAGGUCCCGGAGCUUAAACCAGAGCCUAGAACACACAGGAAGGUCCCGGAGCUUAAACCAGAGCCUAGAACACACAGGAAGGUCCCGGAGCUUAAACCAGAGCCUAGAACACACAGGAAGGUCCCGGAGCUUAAACCAGAGCCUAGAACACACAGGAAGGUCCCAGGGCUUAAACCAGAGCCUAGAACACACAGAAAGGUCCCGGAGCUUAAACCAGAGCCUAGAACACACAGAAAGGUCUUGGUGCUUAAAUCAGCAACUGCUAUCAAACAAAGAAGCCAAAGUUCCACAGACAGACCGUGUCUCAAAAAGUCAAAACCAAGCCAAAUCAAAACAAUUAUUAACACGCAGGGAAGGUCCAAGAAUGUAAACCAGGGACUAUUUAAACAGUCAGGGAGGAACUUUGUUCAAACACAGUUGGAUGUCAGAACUAAGAACUCAAGAUUCUGUAAACAUUUCAUACUUUGACA